CAUAUGGGGUGUUGGAACAAUCUGUUUGGGCCUCAGCUCAAACCUAAUCCAAGCUACUAACAAAUGAAGAGAAUGUUUAGCUGAGUUGCAGCAAGCAAAAGAGGAAAGGAAAAAACGCUUCUCUGUUUAUAAGCUUCAAAAACAACUAAAAAACUAUGAAUUGAAUAUUGAUUUCGACGCGACAACGAAAACAGGCAAAUCAAAUGGAGCAACAUGGCAUGAAUAUGAUGGAUGAAGAAGGAUGAAAUUUUAGGAUUGCUAGAUCAUGUUGACUUUGGUCAACAGUUGACCAAAAAGUCAAUUGUUGACCAAAAAGUCAACAUUACCAAAAAUGUUCUCUUUUAUAAAUAUGUUUUAUAGAAAUGUAAAUUGAAAUAUAAAUGUAAUAAAUUUGCAAUAAAAGUUGAUUCUUAAA